GACGAACGCUGGCGGCGUGCCUAAUACAUGCAAGUAGAACGCUGAAGGAGGAGCUUGCUUCUCUGGAUGAGUUGCGAACGGGUGAGUAACGCGUAGGUAACCUGCCUGGUAGCGGGGGAUAACUAUUGGAAACGAUAGCUAAUACCGCAUAAGAGUAGAUGUUGCAUGACAUUUACUUAAAAGUUGCAAUUGCAUCACUACCAGAUGGACCUGCGUUGUAUUAGCUAGUUGGUGAGGUAACGGCUCACCAAGGCAACGAUACAUAGCCGACCUGAGAGGGUGAUCGGCCACACUGGGACUGAGACACGGCCCAGACUCCUACGGGAGGCAGCAGUAGGGAAUCUUUGGCAAUGGACGGAAGUCUGACCGAGCAACGCCGCGUGAGUGAAGAAGGUUUUCGGAUCGUAAAGCUCUGUUGUAAGAGAAGAACGAGUGUGAGAGUGGAAAGUUCACACUGUGACGGUAUCUUACCAGAAAGGGACGGCUAACUACGUG
rnacentral:rRNA from 1 species